rnacentral:rRNA from 1 species
UGUGCCUACGGGAGGCAGCAGUGAGGAAUAUUGGUCAAUGGGCGAGAGCCUGAACCAGCCAAGUCGCGUGAAGGAUGACGGCCCUACGGGUUGUAAACUUCUUUUGUCAGGGAGCAAUUGAGUCCACGUGUGGGCUUAGCGAGAGUACCUGAAGAAAAAGCAUCGGCUAACUCCGUGCCAGCAGCCGCGGUAAUACGGAGGAUGCGAGCGUUAUCCGGAUUUAUUGGGUUUAAAGGGUGCGUAGGUGGAAUAUCAAGUCAGCGGUAAAAAUUAGGGGCU